GAUAUUUUUGUUAGGUUUUGAUGUGUACUUCGAGACGCUUAAAGGAGGUCUUGUGGGCUCUUUUUUUUUUUUUUUCCCCUUCCUGUUUGCCCAGUUAGUGAUGUUGAAUUUACCUUUUACAGACAAAAUCUUUCUGAAGUGGUGGAUGUGGCUGUUUAGUCCUGUGCAUCCAUCUCUUUGUAAUAAGCGAUUUGCUUAUCAUCUUGACAUGGUUGGUUCUUUCUAUGAGAAUUUACUUCAAAACAUGUACUGUGUAGUUUAAAAAAAAUAGUUUGUGUUUAAAGCAUGUGUUCUCAUUCAUAUAAACUGUUUAAAACUUUUUUAGGUGACCUAGUUUCUUCCUUAUUGGUUUGUCUGUAAUGAAUGGUUACAAAUAAGGGUUCUAUUUUACCCUAACACUAAAUGAGUUUUUUUUAAAUGUAUUUUCAGAGCAGGUUUAAAAAAAGCGUUUCUUCCCUAAGUCUGAACUUUGUCCUCUUUUAAGUCCAACGGAUGUAGCACCAUCUGCUGGUAGAGUGGCAGUAUAGCUGCAAGACGGUUGGUUAAGAAAAACCCAACUUACUUGUUCAGGACAAUUUCAUCAGAUUUAGCAGUUUGCCAUCAGAAUUCUGCAGACUUGAAAGGUCCACAUUUACUUGUAGCUGAGACGGGCUUCCCGGGAGUGUAGUUAACAGCCCGCAUCAGUCACUUUUUCUACGUGAGAUUUGAACAUGUAAACUGCUAUGCAUAGCUUGGGCAGUAGCCCCAAACUGCUCCGGUAGCUACUGAAGCAGCUGUGUGUACUGGGGUUUUAGGUGCAAGUUGUAAAACAAAAUAUCUGUAUUCUGCUUGGUUAACGUGUAUUUGUAGCCCUUCAUGCAAUAGAAUUCAAGUUGUUGUUUAUAAAAAAAAAACAAAAACUGAUAAUAGAAGAAAAUGCCUUCCUGGAUAGAAACAUAGAAUAGCAACGUUUAUGGAUAUCACAAAUAAAGAAUUCAAUUCUU
rnacentral:lncRNA from 1 species